rnacentral:rRNA from 1 species
UACGAAGGGUGCAAGCGCUAAUCGGAAUUACUGGGCGUAAAGGGUGCGUAGGCGGUUGUUUAAGUCUGUCGUGAAAUCCCCGGGCUCAACCUGGGAAUGGCGAUGGAUACUGGGCAGCUAGAGUGUGUCAGAGGAUGGUGGAAUUCCCGGUGUAGCGGUGAAAUGCGUAGAGAUCGGGAGGAACAUCAGUGGCGAAGGCGGCCAUCUGGGACAACACUGACGCUGAAGCACGAAAGCGUGGGGAGCAAACAGG